UACGUAGGGUGCGAGCGUUAAUCGGAAUUACUGGGCGUAAAGCGUGCGCAGGCGGUUUUGUAAGCCAGAUGUGAAAUCCCCGGGCUUAACCUGGGAAUGGCAUUUGGGACUGCAAGGCUGGAGUGUGGCAGAGGAGAGUGGAAUUCCUGGUGUAGCGGUGAAAUGCGCAGAUAUCAGGAAGAACACCCGUGGCGAAGGCGGCUCUCUGGGACGGUACUGACGCUGAGACGCGAAAGCGUGGGGAGCGAACAGG
rnacentral:rRNA from 1 species